rnacentral:rRNA from 1 species
UACGUAGGGAGCAAGCGUUGUUCGGAUUUACUGGGCGUAAAGGGCGCGUAGGCGGCGUGUCAAGUCGAUUGUGAAAUCUCCGGGCUUAACUCGGAACGGCCAAUCGAUACUGACGUGCUAGAGUGCAGAAAGGGCAAUCGGAAUUCUUGGUGUAGCGGUGAAAUGCGUAGAUAUCAAGAGGAACACCGGAGGCGAAGGCGGGUUGCGAGGCUGACACUGACGCUGAGUGCGCGAAAGCCAGGGGAGCAAACGGG